rnacentral:rRNA from 1 species
CCUACGGGAGGCUGCAGUGGGGAAUAUUGGUCAAUGGGCGCAAGCCUGACCCAGCAACGCCGCGUGAAGGAAGAAGGCUUUCGGGUUGUAAACUUCUUUUCUCAGGGACGAAGCAAGCGACGGUCCCUGAGCCCUAAGCCACGGCUAACUACGUGCCAGCAGCCGCGGUAAUCCGUAGGUGGCAAGCGUUCUCCGGAUUUACUGGGUGUAAAGGGCGUGUAGGCGGGAAAGCAAGUCAGAUGUGAACACCAUGGGCUCAACCUGUGGCCUGCAUUUGAAACUGUUGUUCUUGAGUACGGGAGAGGUAGACGGAAUGCGUAGUGUAGCGGUGAAAUGCGUAGAUAUUAGGAGGAACACCAGUGGCGAAGGCGGUGUGCUGGACAGCAACUGACGCUGAGGCGCGAAAGCGUGGGGAGCGAACAGGAUUAGAUACCCCAGUAGUC